UUUUUUUUUUUUUUUUUGCAUCCAGAUUAGGUGAGCUAGUAAUAAGCCUGCUUUAUUGCUUAAAGUUUUACUGUAGUAAUUAUGCAAAAAAUAUCUUUAGUAGUAGUAAGAUUCCUUAAAAAUCAUAAAACUAUACUUCAUAGAUAUGCAAAAAUAUUUAGAAAUAUUUAGAAAUAGUGCAACAGACUGUGAAAUACUAUAAAAUCUAGAAGUGUGCAUGUUUAAUGUGUAAUAGAUCUGAGUAUGAGCUGAUGAGGUCAUCACAAGGAAUUCACCGAGAUUUCAUGCCACUGUAUUCAGCAAAGAAUAAGAAAAAAGUCCUCAAAGCCAGCCAGUAAGUUCAGGAAAACAAUAAAUUCAAAGGUAUAGUGAUACUGUAGCUUUUCAAAAGGAAAUUAACCUGAGAAAAGCACAUGUAAUAAAGCAUUACGUAGAAGAUGGGUAAAAUACUGGCUAAUUAGCAGCUGAGCUAAUGAAACAACAAGCCCACAAAAGAUGGAAUAAUGUGCUGAAAGUUUAAUUAAGACAUUAGGGUUGUAGACAUAAACAAUUACAACUGAGAAAAUCUUAUUUAUCACUCCUUGAUCAAUUGCCAAGCUCAGAGCUAAAGAAUUCAGCAGUGCACAGCUCCCACUGAUAGUGGGUGAUGUGAUCCAUGUAUGCUGGUGCAAAGCCAACUCAUAACCAAAUUAGGCAGAAAACCCACAUCAAGACAGUGUUGUAACCUGUUGUGGGUGUCACACUUGCCUUACUUGAAAAGCAAGAGUGUGCAGUGAAGGAGCUGCAAACUAAGCCCAAAGCAAGAACAUACAGCAAAAGUGGGUCUCAAAGGUGACAAUGAAGACCAGAAAGGAUUAGCAGAUAUCAUUUAAAAGCAAAAGAAUAAGGUGACCCACAAUCUAAUUUAUCAGUGCAGGAGGUACAGCAGCAUAGCAUGUCGCUGUCAGUAAAUGUACAAUAAGCAAUGCAAGUUCAGGCUGAACCAAAUGCAAAGGUGGUUGCAGUAAAGAGUAUUAAGAUGGUCUUAGAGAGAAGAGAUUUCACAGCAGGAGACUCUACAGUCAAAUCAAUCUUGCUAUUAACAUUCUCAUAACUAGGAGGUUCUCAGCAAACAGAGAAGUUCACAUUAUCCUGAUAGGAAGAGCUGACCAAAAAAAAAAGUCCUUGUUGCUUCUAAGCAUUGGUACCUGUUGCAAAGUCUUGUGGGAUCCACAUCCCCAGCUGGCAACAUUAGGGACCAACUGAGAGCACACCUUCUGACAUAUGCAAAACAUAUUUCCUUUAACAGAUUCAACACAAUGCCUCUGCUUGUGUCUGGAAUAAAGUGAGCAUGCUUAUGUGCGACAUAAACAGCCCUUCAGGCACAUAUCCAGGGCAAACACUUCAGGUAUAAUGAGGAAGUCAAAAACCUAUGGAUGACAGUUAGGGAACAAGGCAGCAAAGGGAGCCUUGUGACCAGUGUAUACUAUAGUCCAACCAAUCAAGUGGAGCCUACGAUGGAGCCUUCUACCUCCAGCUACAGGAGACAUCAGAUGCUUUUACCAGUGGGGGACUUCAAACACCCAGACUGGAAAGUAGCAUGAAGAGCUGUAGACAAUCUUAGCAGCUCCUGGAAUGCAUUGAGAAUAACCUCCUGAGUCAGAUAACAGAAGGCCCCAUCGGGGGGAUGCAAUACUGGACCUAUUACUCACUAAUGCAAAUGGGUCCCAGUGAGAUACAUGUCAGAGGCCUGAGGGAAUUAACUGACAUAGUGACCAAGCCACUCUCAACGACAUUUGAAAAGUAGUGGCAACUAGGUGAGGUCCCUGGUAAUUGCAAAAAGGCAACAUCACACCCAUUUUUAAGAAGGAUAAAAUGGAUGACCCCAGGAACAACUGUCCUCUCAGUCUCACCUCUGUGCUGGGAAAGAUUGUGGAACAGUUGGAAAGACCACAAAACAAACCCUCCUGGAAGCUAUACUAAGGCACAUGGAAGAUAGGGAGGUGAUACAGGAGACCCAGCAUAUCUUUAGCAAGGGUGAACUUGCUUGACCAAAACAGUGGCCUUCAGUGGUGCUGUCACUGCAUCAAUGGUCAAGGGAAGAACAACUGAUGUCGUCUACCUGUAUUUCAGGAAGGCCUUUGACACGGUACCCCACAACACCCUUCUCUUCAAACUGGAAAGAUAUAGAUUUGAUGGGUGGCCUGUCCAACAGAUGAAGAAUUGGCUACAGGACUGAGUCCAGAGGAUGGUGGUCAAUGGUUCAGUGUCUGCAGGGAGAUCAGUGACAAGCGGUAUCCCAGAGGGGUCAAUGCUGUGACUGAUGCUUUUUAAUAUCUUCAUCAGUGACGCUGACAUUGGGGUCGAAUGCACCAUCAGCAAGUUUGCUGAUGACACCAAGAUCUGAGGUGCAGUCAACACACCAGAGGGACAAGAUGCAAAACAGAGGGACCUAGAUAGGCUGAAUCUCAUGAGGUUCAACAAAUCCAAAUGCAAGAUUUUGUAGCUCAAGGUAAGCCUUCCUAUCAAAACAAGCUGAGGAAUUAAAGGACUGAGAUUAGUCCUGCUGAAAAAGACCUGAGGAUACUGGUGAAUUGGAAGCUGGAUAUGAGCCAGCAACGAGCCCUCACAGCCAAGAAAGCCAACCAUAUCCCAGGCCAGAUCAAAAAAAGCAUGGCCAGCACAGCAAGGGAAGUGGUCCUGCCACUCUACUCUGUGCUGAUGAGGCCUCACCUGGAGUACUGCAUCCAGAUGUGGAGUCCUCAGUACACUAUAGAAAUAGGCCUGUCAGAGCACAUCCAGAGAAGGACGCAAACAUGCUCCAAGGGAUGGAACACCUUGCCUAUGAGGACAGGCUCAGUGCUAGGGUUCUUCAUUCUAGAGAAGAAAAGGCUGCAAGGUGACCUGAUAGCAUCCUUUCAAUACCUAAGGGCGAACUACAGGAAAGAAGGGAACAGAGUCUUUAGCAGGGUCUGUGGUAACUGAUCAAGGAGAAAUGGCUUCAAGCUUAAAGAGGGUAGAUUUAGGUUGGAUGAUAAUGAAAAAGUCCUUUACAGUGAGGGUGGUGAGGCAGUGGAACAAGUUGCCCAAAGAUGUGAUUGAUUCCCUGUCCCUGGAGACUUUCAUGGCAAGGCUGGAUACGGCUCUGGGCAACCUGAUUUAGCUGUGGAUGUCUCUUUUCAUUGCAAGGGAGUUGGACUAGAUGACCUUUAAAGGCCACUUUCAACUCUAAGGAUACUAUGAUUCCAGGCAGUGCCAAAAUUUGCCCUAAAUUGUACUAAUGAAACUUAAGUCAGAAUUUGUCCUUUGUCUAGCACCUCUCUCCAAAAUCAACACAAACUAUGUAUUUAAUCUAUGGGAGAGAGAAGAGAGCACUCUCAUCCCGUGACCAGCUCUAUUUAACCUGUGUAAUCAGUGAAGUUUGGUUUUACUGAGAGCUGAUAUCUACCCAGAUCUGCCUUUGCAAAGCACCUAGAAGACUGGAUCCCUUUUCUUAGUAAGAAUGGCAGGAAGUUAGAGGAAUGCAAUGCAGGAAAAGCAUUUUUCUCUUGCUCUUGAUUUAUUUGAGGUUUUGCUUCCACUUUAAAAGAAAUUGUGCUAUAUUCACAUAUAUGCAACCCUCCAUAUAGCAGAAAGGGGAAUUUGCAGUCUUCCCUUAAAUUCCUUCCCAGUGAGCCUUGUACUGUAGGUCAGGUGUCAACAUCUUAUUGCUAUGUGACUUCCUAUUGCCACAAAUCCAGGAAUCUGCUGUAAAAGCAGCAACAGAAAUAGACCCUAAGCAGUGGUUCUCAGUACUUCCCAAACUUGGUUGUCGGCAUUUAUUUCUCUGAUUGUUCAAAUCUCUUGCUAGUAAAGUACUUGGGAAAUUUCUUUACUUUUUCUUAAGGCAUAACUUCCCUGUUAGUCUGAAUACUUUCUGCAUGAUUAAAGCCACUCGAAUUACUUAUUUACCUGGCUCUAUUCACAGAGAACAAUGGCUUUGGUAUAAACCCACUUCCUGCACAGAAUCAGGGAAACAUUUCAACUGUGUGCAACUCUCUGGCUCCACUAAAGUCAACAGAAGAAAGUUAAUUUAUUCUGUCCAAAGUUUUGCUGAUGUGCAAAUCUGAACCCAGCAGCAAAAUGCAUCAUAAGAGCAACAACAAUGAAAGAGCACACUCUUUGCAAUGGUAUUAAAAAUGCUGAAAAUGUACGUGUUAAAUUAUAGCUUUCCUGCUUUCAUUUUUAUUCUUGGGUAGAACAGACUAUAGUCAAAGAAUGCUGGUGGAUCAUUAAUUCUAGCUGAUUUCAGUGAAUUACAACAUGGCACAGUUGAACUCUGAAAUUAGUCACUCAGAUAACUGAUGCAGAGACUCACAGACUCCCCACAAUCCUUCCUAAAGAGAUAACACCACUUAUUUAUUGCAUUGAUCACUAAAGUCAGAAGCAGAGAAGACAAAGGUACAGACCAGUUGUGUCUGUCUGUUCAUACCAUCUAAACUUUCAUCUUUCAUUGAUAAAACAAAAAUCUGAAAUUGAACCACCAUCAUCCUUGGCAAGAAUAUGUUGUGGAGUUUUUCUCCCCUUCCCAGAAGGCAUUUGUAACUGCUCUGAAAUACACCAUUUCACUAAUUUCAUCAGCUACUAAUUUCAAAAGCAUGACUGCUAUUUAAUCUUGCUAUGUGCCACACUCUAUAAAUUAACUACUAUAGUAAUUUACAUCUCUGUCCAUCCAUGCCAAUGAGUUGCUAAGGCAUUGCUGUGGCAUUAUUGCUGUUGUACUAUAUAUUUAUGAAGGCUAAGCCUGCAUGCCAUACUAAUUCUACACCUUAAAAUAUGCCUACUUUGCUACAGCAGUUAGCAUAGAUCAGUUCUAUGACAUAUGGUAUAUUACUUAUCUGCAUACAGAUCUGUAUUACAUAAACUAGCAAGACAGAACAAAAAAAGCUACAUUUGUUAAAUCUCGUGCCAGAUUUGACUAGUACUGGAGGUAGGUUUAGCUUUUUUUCUUUCCCAUGUUACUGGAAAAAAUCUUUAAAACUGUGAGGUAUGCAAACCCAUAUUUCUAUACCUAAAAUUUAUAUCAUGAGACAGUGAGACUGAAAAACCUGAGGCUUUAAAUACUGAGGUAAGAAUGAACUGCAUUUUCUACUCAUCUCUAAAAAUAAAUAAAGAAAACACAAAAGAAGCCUUUCAAAGAUUUUCGCUCAAUUCUGCCACAUUCAUGCUUAGCCUCAAAGAUCUGGGCUUUUAUUUUUUUGUACGGUUCCACACAAAGACAAGAGUCCAACUUGCUUUAAGCGUGCCACCCAGCCUGCAGUCAAUAUCUUUCAUUGACUUCAGUGGCAGAGAAUGAGACCUCAAAGCACAUGGAUUUGGUCAUAGAGCAAAUCCAUUAAAGCAAGUGAAAAGUUUAGAAUGCACAACCCAUGGAAACAAACUGUACCUGGCACUUUGGGAUCAAAACAGAAGUCUAAGAGAAAGUUCUUCAAAGAACCUUUAGGCACCCUCAGAGAAUUUGCUGAACUGUGUCUGUUAAAUUAGAAGGCUUACAAAGAGUACUUCUACUUACACUGGGGCCAACAAUGUGAUUAUCAGCAUGAACAACCUGAAGACUCAUUCAUCUUUGUCUCUGAAAAAUUCUCUGCUUCUUAUGCAACAAAAGGAUUUAUUGUGUACUGUAAAUGCUUACAGAGUAACAGAGAAAACUCAAUUCUGGAGAACUGAUAAAGACCUAAAUAUAAAGAAAAUUCACAAAUAAAUGCUAUCAUAAAAACAUCCUUUGACUUUCCCAAGAAAUUAUGGCUAAUGCAAAUUAAAGACUGUGGCACGUAAUAUUUCAGUGAAUCUAAAAAAAUGAAGCAUUUUACUAUUUGCAUUACGCUCACAGAGAAACAAAGGCCCCAGUAAAUGACUGAUGUAAAGCAGUAAAGGCAAAGUUUACACAGCCAAAUACUGCGACACAACACAAUCUGGGGGCUUUGCACUAACUUAUUCACACAUUUUACAAUACAGCAUUUCAUGACAUGAUCACUUCUAAAAGAUCUGCUUUACACAAGAAGCACAAGGAAUGCUGGUGCUUCUUUAGAGUGCUUGUGCUUCUGUGCCUGUUCUUGUUUGCACAGCAAUGGGAAAACGCUGACCUUCUUUGCUUGUUACUUCCCUGAGUAGGUGAACAUUGCCCUAGUAAUCACCAAAUGUGGUAUUUCUGAUUUUCUCCAUAGCUUGUUUGCGCUGGUCACUAACUUUUCUGCUUUUGAAGUUAGUGCAGUGAGUGCAUAAACAACAGAUGGGCUCACAGGUCCUGGUGUAAUUCCCUUUCAAAAUUAUUGAGUAUUAACUGCCUUCAGAAAGCCCACACUUCCAGGAAUGCUAACAAUAAUAAAUACAAGAUGAAACAGCAAUGUUGUCUGCAGUCUACUGAGCAAUAAUUGAUGGAAAAUUUGAGGUAAAAAUCAAAUUUUAGAAACCUUAUGCCUACUAGUACAGUAAUCCAGGUGAACAAAGAGAAAUCACUGUAAAAUAAAUACUGUUUUAGUCUUCCAGAAAAUUAUUUUCUGGUCCAGGGAGGUCACAGAGCCUAUCCAAUCACCAUGCAGCAGUUGUACAAGCUUAAAGUAUGCUUAGAACAAGGCAAGUCUUCAAGUCAACAGUUCAACUGUUCUGUACUCUACUCAGUGUGUAAGAAAACAGACUAUUUUUAGAUUCUUGUAAGUUGGCAGAAACAAGAUAUAUUUUCACAAAUUGUAAACACAUCUGUCAACUACUAUGACAAAUAAAGUGAAUAAUUAAAUUGAUUGACAGCCCUCACACUUUUUAACAAACAAGUUUUGAAUAUUUUUAGGGUCUGAAGUAGAGAUGAAACAGUUUUUCCCUUAACUUCAUUCUUAGAAUUGGCUAAACCAUUAAAAAAACUAAUUUCCUGAGUCAAACAUUCAGCAUGACAAAUGUUUGCCCAAACACUUUAAAUUUAGCAGAGUUAUACACUGCUAAAAACAUAGCCUUGCAGCAUAAAUGCAUUUAUUAUGAUUAAUAUGUUUACACUGCAGGAUAUAAACAACCUAAGAUAUGAAUUGAAUUUGGUAUUAUCUACAGACUGGCAAACAGCACUAAUUUUUUAUUUUUAUUUUUUGUAUUUAUUAUAAAAUAUCAAACUUUUUUUAUAAAAUAUGGUAUUUUCCUUCAAUAAAUUUAUAUCUAUUACUUGAAUAGAUACACCUGUAUAAUUUAGGGACUAUCUUCUGCAUGCAAGGGUCCCCAUCUCAUGUCCUGCAGGUCACACUCACAUACAUUUGUGACUAGAGAAGGAAAGACAUAAUUGUAGUGUUUCUCCUCAGAAUAGUGAGUAGUGCUGGUUACAUCCCCUCUAACAGAUUAAGAGUUUCUAGCUCUUUUUAAAAAUGAUUUACACUGAAGCAGUGUAAGAGAAGAGCUGAUCAAAGAAAAGGAGGGGAUAUGUAAAAAAAAAUAAAUAAAAAAGCAGAUGCUAGCAGUGGAUAACCAUUCUUUUCCUGAUAUAUUUCUUUUCUUUCAUUAAUGCAUCAAAAUCCACAUUAAGGAUAGUUUUCUUAAUAUAUACUAAGAAUUAAAUAUGUUGUACUAACUUUGAGAAGUACAUAUAUGUAGACAAAUGUCAAUUCUUCAUAUUCUUUGAAGAGAUAUUGGUUAAUUAUUUUGCUGUUUUAUAAUUCUGUACAGAUUUUUUUUUUUACUCAUACAUUAGUAGGCUUUGAACUUGCAAAAAUUUCUUGCUGUAGGAAAGAAGUUAAGCCCUUGUAACUGCUUGAUGGCAGCAUCCUGUCCUUCUAAGGUUAAAGCAAGACAGCACACGAUUUCUUUUUCCUCACUCUCUUUCAACACAUGAGCCAGGAGCAGACAAUCAGUUGAAACAGUGAUGAUUACAAAUGACAACUUGUAGCAUGUGUUAUCACAGUCACUGUGUACAGUAAUUCAGCCAACAAUAUAUUUUGCUAACGACCAUGUGGAUUCAGGGAAAACCAUUUGUUUUCUGGAUGAAAUCAACUACAGACACAUUAUUACAGUAUGCUUUUCCCAGGAUCUGUAUUGAAUAAGCAGACUAAACACAGCGUUAGUUUGAAAGGACUUUGCAGAUACUAGGUGAAAGCUGACCCCUUCAAAGUCAGCGACUAGCAGUGCGUAGAUGUUAGCAAGGCUAAUGUUAUAAUUAUCCACACAGCUAUUGAACUGUCAAAUAUUUUAGGUUCUAUUUAGCCUGUUCACAACUGAGAGAAAUCUUCACUCAAUAGCUUCCUCAGUUAUUUUAGUCAAAUAAAUUACAUCACGGGCUCUCAGUCAGGCAGGGAUGUGACAGGCUCUUGAAGGUGUCAGAUGUGAACCUUGCUGAGCUUGAAGUUUUCCUGAGGUAACUGAAAAUUUUAAAUUCAUCUCUUGAAGGGCAUAGUUUCCCUGAGUGACACUUCAGACAUAUUAACUGUGGGCGAUUAAGGAGCAGCUGCACUCGAUGUGCUUGUAGGAAAUAAGUGAUUUGAUGGAAUUACCCAGUGUGCAUCUGGACAAAAGCUUUAAACAUGUUUGGACAAAGGCAUGACUCAACAACUUAAACUAAAAUUUAAGGGAUUGCAACUGGGUAACAUCAACAUUUCCCAACAUAAAAUUAAAGUAUGAGAAAAUGAGAAACCACGUCUGAGUAUGUAAGUGGCAUCUUUCCUCCCAGAGGAACAGUAAGGACCCCCUGGUAGUCUUCAACAGCUAUGGCAGCAUAGUACCGAUUAGCUGUCCUACCUACUGUGACUCUGUAACGACAGCUUUCACAAAAUUAUCACCCAGCCAAAAUAGCCUCAGUUCACAGGUUAAGUGUGCCAGUGUCAUUAAGCUAAAUGUAAGGAAUAAACAUGAUCAAUCUCCAUAAAUAACAAGGGCUGGAAGGGGAAGGAGCAGCUACUUCUGGGAAAGCAGAAAAUGGAACACAGCAAAAACCCAGCAAGUGGAAUUAUUUAUGUCACUGGGAAAGCUGAGGGCAUGGCUCAGGAGGAAAAGUAUGUAUUGACAGCUCAAAGACUUCUAACAAUGUUUUUACUAAUUAGGGAAGCACUUUGAAAGCUUUUGGUUAGAUUCUUUAGAUUCAAUGAUGUAAAUCCUUUUGGAGCACUUUGAUUCUCUGCUUUUCAUUACAUUUUCAAGCUCUGCUGUUAUUUGAAUUAACUAGAUCCUUUUUUUCAAUAUACUGGUUACCUCCCAACCCUACAGCGAUGCUGAUAGUAAAAAGCACCAAAAUCUUCAAAAACAAUAUUCUGCCAUUUCUAGUUGCUGUUUUUGAUAAGUGUUUUCUUAAGUUUACCAAAUUGUAUGACAUCAGUUCAAAUAGAGAGUUCACAAGAGAUGGAGUCGCAGCUGCUCCCUUGUGUCUCAGCUUGUGAAAUCGCUCUCACUUCUCCGUUAUUCCAAUGUUUAAAGAGUUUUUAUCUGUAUACUUAAGACACAGCCUCAGUAAGAUAUCCAUUCACAUGAACAGAAUGACAAAAAGCAACAUAUCCAAGUCUCCCCUUCAGAUAGCCAUACCAGAAGCAAAUAUUUUUAUAUGAAAAAUAUUGCAAUUAGAUGUUACUAGCAUCAUAAAUGCAAAGCAGAAAAUUCACACCUUUCAUUCUUAUCCCCUCAGCUUGCAGAUUCAGGAGUAUAUCUGCACUGCUGGGUCAAUCUAAACAAUUAUAAUCUGUGUGGAGCCUCUUUCACUGUUGAUCUCUCAUUGCCCCUGACUGCACAGAUCGUGAAGAAAAAAAUCCUGACUCCUCAAAAGUCCAUAUAUUUUUCCUGCCCAUACCCUUCUCUCAUAGUCUAUCCAAUAUCAUUGUCUGGGAAAACAAUAUGCAAUAUACACUUUUUUCCCCCAAAUGCAAAAAAGCCUUUCUUAUAUUUAAACUUCUCAUUGCCAUCUAGGUCACUGUAUAGUGAUGAUUAUUCAAAAAUUUCCUCUCUCUUUAGUAACUUGAAAUUAAUUUAGCUCACUGUUCUGCACACAAAGCUGCCUCAGAGUAGCACACCCAGUGACAGACAUUUUCAAACAACCUUCAGUUGUAUGAUUCAUUUCCCUACGGCUGUUUUACAUGAGUAUUAACAUACUCAGAACUUCCCUGCCAAGAAGGAUUGGCCUCUUGACUUACUUGUUUGGUGAGGGUAUCUUCUCUUAGGCAUUUGUCUCAUUACACCCAAUUAGCAGUUAACAUUUUAUAAUCAGAAUUCACUGCCUAACUGUGCCUGGCCAAGUGUUGCUUUCUCCCCUACAUAAAUAUUACUGACCUCUUCUGACAUUGCAGAUUUGGUCCUCAGAUCAAGAUUAUAUGUACAGACUUGCAGAUAAAUGCUUAACGAGCUUCACCAGGCAAACACUAGAGACAAGAGUACAAUCUUUCCCUUUGGUUUCCAGAGUACUUGUGGCCAAAAUCAAGCCAAAUAUUUAAAUGGCUGCAAUGGUCCUACUGAUAGUAGAAAGACCAACACAGAAAGAUCCCAGAAAGGACACAAAUGAGUCAGUACUUCCCAUAUAGUAUAUAUAUAUAUACCCAAACCUGCAGUAUUUCAGUCAUCCAGAGCAAGAGAGCAAUCUCAGCCCACUGAGAUGCCAUUUGAAUUAGUGGUUUUACACUUAGCCUGUUCUUUUCUAACAUCUCAUGAGACAGAGUUACAUUGCUGUUGGACACCUAGCUGAGAUACAGGCAGCUCGGAGCAUUGCUCCAUAUGUGCACUCACAGAGCUUUCCAGGUCAGCUGUUUUCCCCUGAGCAGGUGGAUACAAGUAAGAGCACAAAGAUACCAUCACAGAGCAUCUGCUACAUGUUGCUGAUUAACAUUGAUCAGAACUUGCCAGAAAUGAUUAGCAUUGUCGAAUGAGUCAUUUUGCCUCAAUGUACUCUGAGAUACCAUGCUUAUCUAAAGGUACCUAAGCCAGGACUAAAUGAGUUAGUUGUAGAACAAAGGUAGCCGUUCUAGCACAGUAUGAUACUUUCUUCUCAACAGAGCUAAUUAAACUGUACAGAAUGCCAUCGUAAUACAGCUGUAUUGUUUCUGGCAGCAGCCCAGCACGGGCCUUUCCACCACACCUUGGCUCUUUGCUUCAGCAACGUCAGCUCAACAUCAGCAGGCACUUCCCAAGCACAUCAGGAACUAGUCAGAUUACAAAAGUAAAUUCUCUCAGCAACUACGAAAUAUUUUGUAAUAACAUUUAAAAUAAACAAAAAUAACCUUUUCCUUUAUGAUACCAUGUAAUGAUCCCUUUAACAAAAUUCCUUUCUAGAAUCACAGGGCAAAAAUGAAAAAAAAAACAAUGGGCUAAAAAAAGGUCAGCUGAAAGUGACUUUUGACCAGAGAUUCUUUAACAUCUUCUAUGACAGGAAAAGAGAAUUCUUUGUAAUGUAUAACUUCUGAACCAUGAGAUAGCCACCUGACAUCAGUGGUUGCAUUUCAAUGGAGCUACUUCCUUUUCUAUCAGUUAAAAUUGCUUUACAUGGCCAUUCUACAUUUUAACAGUACAAUACCUGAACUUUCAGAAGUAGCUGCUUGAUGAAGGUAGUAAGUACUGAUUUCAUUCAUUUAUUUGCAAGAUUAAAAAAUAUUUUCUAUCAUUUUUCUGUUUCUGUUUUAAAAGUUAUAUGAUUAUUUCUCAAAGGCUUCUGUGAGUUCUUCAUGAUCAGAAAAAUUCACUUUGGAUUCUGGCAAGAAAGGCCUGUUUUCCAGGCUAAUUAUUUAUUUUCAGUUGAUUAAUGAAUUACCCUAGAACGAAACCAAAAAGCCCACGCAUGACCUCACAGUACAUGUGCACACUUGCACACAUAAAUGUUCAUUCAUUAAAAAACAUGAAAAAGGCAUUAAGAUGUUAGAAUAGCUUUAAAAAGCACUAAAGAACUGGUAUUAAAUACAACCUUUGAGAAAUAAAGCUAAGGAAAGACUCCUUUUGGCAGUCUUUUCACACUUCAGUCUGAAGAUAAGGGAAGUUUUCAUAAACAGCCACAGCACUGUAUGUGGACUUUGAAAGUGAUGCCCAGAAGUUCACAGUAUCCUGAAGUUUAUCGUGAGGCGUUUCUAAACUCCAAUGUCCCCUGCCUUUUAUUGCAACUUGCUCCUACGCUGCCAAUUCAUUGUAAGCCUUGACAAAACAUCUGCAAAAUUUUAGAGAUGCUCCAACAAUUAAAAGAGACAUCAAUUCUUUCAUUAUCAUUUCUAUAAUUUGGACUGAGCAGUGUAAUAGACUUUACUGUCAAGUACCACCAGCUACCUAUGAAUCACUUCCACUUAACUCUGCAGGGCAUGAGCAUGAAAAAAAUUAAUUUGAAUGUAAUUCCUUGUUGCUCUGAAGUAUUCUGAUGAAAUUCACCCUUUUGCUUGGAAGGGACAUCAGUUCUACAGAAAUUCUUGAUGGCCUAGGUCCUUCUUGACCUUGCAACUUGUGUAAGUCAACAAUACAACUGUGAAAGACUUUAUUUUUUCCCAGUAUCUUGUAAGACUAUGAAAGAGCAAGAAUAGCACAGACAAGGUUACAGCAGAAAAAAACUUACCAGUAGAUGGCUUCACAGAUCUUAGACUGCAAUGCUACUGGAAAAUGCCUCAUAGAAAACCGUCAUUGCUUUUUCUUCCAUCUCUUCUUCAUGAUCCAUUCUACUGGCAGGUAUUUGAACCAGGCCCCUGUUGAAGUAAAAUUAUGCAUAUUCAGUAUAUGAAAUAUAAUCAUGUCUACACGUACCAGCUGAAGCUUGGAUCCUUAUCUGAACACUUGGCAUCCACACCAUGAAUUGUAAGCUACUUUAAGGAAUGAGUUGAUUAAUGUAGACUAAACAUUGAUAUUAUGUUUUUGCUUAGCCACUUCCACAUCUAAAUUCAUUGUAAAGACUUUGUGCUAUGGAAGGAAUUUCUGUUGAAAUGGAAAAAAAAACCUACCAGUAAUAACAGAUGUGUUUGUCGGAGAGCUACCUUCCAUGCAUACCUUGAAAGGAAUUACCAUUCUUUUUUUCCAUUUAAUUGACAAAUUGAGCUCUUUAGUGUACUUUAACAACAUGUGACUAAUAAUAAAUCACAAUAACAGAAAGAUGUGACUGAAAAAACAAUAAAGUGUAACUGUAAUUGGGUCUCAAGCUACUUAACUAAAUUACAAACCCUAUUCAUCUUUUCAAUACAGGACCCAUAAAACACAUUUCUUUUACAAACAAACAAAAACACACCAACAAAAGCAACAAAAAACCACACAGAAGUACCACUACAUUAGAGUUCAUUAAAGGAGCCAAGAAAAUGAUUCCUAAAGAGCAGGAUUACCUACAUAUAGUAGGCAUGACCCAAGGACCCAGGACUAGCGAUCAACAAUAUGUAGGAAGUACAUACUUUAACCUACGCUAUUUCCCCUCCCUCCCUUACAAGCCUCUGAAGCAUCUCAGAAGAAGGCUGCAUUGAUUCUCUCACGAGCACUGGACAUUUGCAAGCUUUAACGAAGUAUAAAACCUGGAGAAGAAAUUGAAUUGGUGGAGGGAAUGGAAAAGAGCACUGUAAUACUUGGUAUGAAGAACAGAUGAUAGAACAACACUAAAAGGAGACUGCAAGACCAACAAGAUGUCAGUAAUAAACUCACUCCAUUAAAAAAAGAACUGAAAAGGAGAGAACUCAAAGGAAGCGGAAAGACAGAAUUUCUGUGCAAUGUAUUUAUUCAUCAGGCCACUGAGCUCAAGAUCCACUUCUCUCACUUUUUGCAGUAAAUGCAAGCACAAAAACUACUUUCUGAAAGAAAAAUCUUCAGCUUUAAGAAGGAAUGACAACAAAAGUCAUUCAGAAGGCUGCGAUUGCCAUCCCAGAGAAACUGAAGCAGUUACACUGGACAUCUUUCAGCAUAACUUUCCUCUUUUAUAGAUUCUCUUCACAUUGUACGGUGGAAAAGCCCACAGGUUGCAGAGCACUUAAACUAUUCUCCUGGAGCCACAGUAAAGACUAAAGAAAGAGUUUCAUCAAUAUCUGUAUCAUUUAGUUGAGUGUUAUUUUGCAGAUAAGAGGUUCACAGAGCUCUACUUGCCAAGGCAAGUACAAUCUAGCUACUCUUAUUAAAGUGCUUAUAUGUCUUCUGUCUCCACAGACAACUAUAUUAGUAAAAUAAAAAAUGCCAGAGAAUGUUCUUGACGUGUACAUGUGAUUCUUCAUGCUGUUUGAAUCAUUGCUAGUGUGGUUUUGGAUGGGGCCAACCAGCAGUGUCUGGAUUAAUUCUCAGACAAGGAUGGAUAUUAACAGAUGCCAACAGCGUUUUCUAACAGGCGCUUUGACACUGUGUUUGCAAGGGAGACUUUAAUCCUAAACUUCUGACUAGAUAAUGUCACUGACAUCAGGGCUAAAAUAUUCCCAGACAUUUUCCUGUAAAGAUGCAGUAAAAGUCUCUGUGUAUCUCUCUAUUUAGUUUUGGUUUUAGGUGAGAAGAAGGGAAUAAAGAUUGCAAAAAUAUCUUUAAAAGAGUAACAUAUAACAAUGUUUACUUUCUCAAUAGCUUAUAGGUAUGCAACUCUCACACCUUCAAAGGUCUAGGUAGGUCUAACUUUAUUCACCAAGGAUACCCCUGGGCAUAAAGGGCUUUGAAACCACCUGAGGUUUGAAUCCAAGGAAAUGGAACAAACCUGCUUUUUGUGGACAAAGCCUACAGCUACAAUUAAUGCUAAAACUGAUCCUGUAGUUUUGUCGCUACUGAACCACAGUAAACACAACAGCUAAGUAACUUUAGGUAUGAGUAAUUCCAUAUUAAGACAGCUAUCUAAAGUGUGCAAGCUAAGUUUUCAUUUAGGAUACUUUUUUUUUUUCCUCCCUAUUAUUUAGAAAGACAGUCUUGAUGAGCAUUUUGAUGUAUAUACAUAAAUUCUAGAAGAUUAAAAAUACAUGAGACAAAAGUCACAUUUAAACCAUCUGUGAGAAUAAAACCACAUCUGAAUUAGGAAUGAACAAGGGGAAAUACAUCCUAGGAAGGUUAGAUUUAAACACUUGGCUUAAUACUUUGCAUGAACAACUUGAAGAAUAUCCAUAAAAUCCAAUCAUUUUACUGUUUUUACCUAUAAUCUUCCUCAUGUAAACUUUUAGAGGCUUUUUUAUUUUUUUUUUCCCCCUCAUUGUCACAGACUCAGUGACCUCCAGAUAAAUCAAAACAACUUUAGAAAAUCCUUACCAGUUCCUUUUAUUUCUCACAACCAAAGGUAAAUGCGUAACUGUAGUUAAAGGUUAAGAAGUCAGAAGGAUUUAUCACUGAAAUGACUAAGGAACAUCUGUUCUAAGAAAUUUACUAUUGCAAUACUUUGUAAGUGCUCUCUUGAUUAUCUUGCAAAGGUCUGCAUGCUAACAAAUCUGCUGAAUAUCAAUUUACAGUGGUUGGAUACUUACCUUAUAGCACAACACAAAAGCUGUUGACACAUAAAUGCAUGAAAACUUCAGGCAUAUUCUAUCACAGGCCAGCCUUCAUUAUAAAAGAUUAUCCCCAGCACCACAUGUUUUGUUAUAUUCUCCAUCCCAGACUUUAUUUCCUGUUUUUCUUUAAGCAAAAAGAUGGAGGCAAACUGUUAGCUACAAUACAUCUUGAAUCCUCAAACAAAUGAGAAUGAAUGUCUUGAUUUCUUUUGAUGAAAACUGUCAUUCUUAGCAAUGAAGGGAUAUAACUAAAUAUACAUCAAAUUAUAUAACAUGCCACAGAGCAGGCAGUCACAAAAUAAAUUCAUCUUUCUAAAAGGCAUAGUCUGAGCAUAGAUGUUGAGAGAAAUGAAAACAGUGCUGCAAAUAUAAUGAACAUCAUUAUUCCUUUGACCUGGAGGUAAAGGAAGACAAAGCAACAAAGGCAUGUCACUCCAAAGGGUAUAAAACCAGUGAAACCUCAGUACCCUGGCUUUGUUUAUAAGUUUUCUGGAAAGAAAAAAAACCCUUCCUUUAGAUUCCCUUGUCUUCAUCAACAUUGCUUUGUUCCCAGAAAGCAACACUGCAGGUCACUUACAGAGAAAUCACCCACUGUUAACGGAAAAAAAAAGUAAAUCAACGAUAUAUUUACAUGGCUAAUACACCUCCCUAGAUUACGUUAUGGAGAAAAGCCUUUUAAAACCAUUUGUUUGCCUGGUCAUGUUAAGAUUUACAUUUCUAGGUACUCUGAGUAGCAAACCUUGUUUUAAUGCAAGGACUUAAAAGGUACAGUCGAGAUAUACUUACAUACAGAAGGAAGGACCAUCCCUGGAGAUGUUCCAGAAACAUGGAGGCAUGGCACAGAGAAACACAAUUUAGUAAGCAUGGACUGGCAGUUGGACUAGAUGAUCUUAGCAGCCUUCUCCAACCUUAAUGGUCCUAGAUAUAUAAAGCAGAUGGAAGGUGCACCAGGAAAAUCUGAACCUCCCAGAAACCAUGCUGUGGAAAGGCACCAGCAAGCCAGGAGCAUUCCUGCUGGCUUUGGAAAGCCAGGAAGACAUGGUAGGAGAAUGAGACUUUUCUUGGGCAUUUGAGCAGGAAAACAAAAACAAAAAAACCUCAUUAUGAGAUUCAUGCAUAAUUUUAGCAUCAUUUUAUAUAUCUUCCUGUGGCCUUCUGGAAAGUUCACUGCGACUCCUCAACACUUGGAAAAGCGCUUCAAAGGACAGUACUGAAAUCAGCAGUUCCACGGCAAGCAACAAGAGAACAAGGAACAACAAACAGGCUUCCCUGCAUCAUUACGGAACAAGCCUUCCCCCAAAAAAGGCUGUCAAGGGUGGUUUCGCCGCUUUUAAAUGCCCGCCGGCGCUCCCAGCCCCGCCCCGGCCCGCUCAGCUGCUCUCCCGAGGGCUCGCGGCGCACACAGCUGCUCACCGCUCGCUCCUCGCUGUCGGAAUUCUCCUCAUCCGCUGAAGCGGUUCCCUGCUUCGUUGCAGAACGGCUCCGCACCGGAGCCGAGCGCCUCUGCUUUUGGUUUUAUUAGCUCCACACGUGUUUAUGGCCUGGCAUGACCCACACGCAGGCAUUUCACAGCCGGGAGCUCAUACCUCUUCCACGAAUGCACCUGGGGGACUGGAGUGAGCAAGGAAGGGGUUCUCUUGCAGUGCAGGUCAUGGAUUUGCCUCCACUCCUUGCCUUUGAGAUCUUGCCUUCAGCCUAGCAGUGAGGGAGUACAAGCUGCCUUGGAUCUUGUGCUUUUUCUUGUGGUUGGACAUGUCUCAGCGAGGGCAAAGCACAGUUCCUUUGCUCCUUCUCUCUUUUGGCCCCCUUGAGAAGGGGACCUCGUAACCUUGAUGAAGGUUAUCAGGAGUAGUCAACAUGGAUUCACCAAGAGGAAAUCAUGCUCAACCAACCUGGUAGCCUUCACCAGUGGGGGAGAUGUGUACCUUGACUUCAGCAAGGCUUCUCACACUGUUUCCCAUAAUAACCUCAUAAGCAAGCUUAGGAAGUGUGGAAUAAAUGAGUGCACAGCUGACCUGUUUAGCUCAGAGUUGUGAUCAGCAUUGCAGAGUGUAGUUAAGCGCCUUUAGUGGUGUUCUGCAGGGGCUGGUGCUGAUUCCAGUCUUGUUCAACAUCUUUAUCAAUGCCUGGAUGAAGGGAUAGAGUCCACCCUCAGCAAAUUUGCUGAUGAUACAAUGCACCAGAAGGCUGUGAUGCGAUUCAGCGAGACCUGGACAGGCCAGAGAGUUGGAUAGAGAGGGACCUUACGAGGUUCAGCAAGGGUGAGUACAGAGCCCUACACAUGGGAAGAAGUAACUGCAUGCAUCAGUAUAGUUUAGGGGAUGAUCUGCUGGAGAGGAGCUCUGCAGAGAGGGACCUAGGUGUCCUGGUGGACAACUAGUUGGCCAUGAGCCAGCAGUGUGCCCUUGUGGCCAAGAAGGCCUGUGGUAUCUUGGGGUGCAUUAAAAAAAGCAUGGCCAACAGGGUUAUAAAUUAUAUCUAUUUAAAUUUCUUUUUUAUUAUUAUUUUUGUAUUUUUAUUUUUAAAUCUAAGUACCAGCUUCCAAAUCUCUCUCCCAAAAGCCUCUAAGACAGACUUAGCCCUUACGGGAAACUGGAAAAAGUACAUACAAAGAAAAAUGUUUUCUUAAUCUACUUCAACUGUUUCUACUAAAUAUUAUUUCCCUUUAUAGUUGUUAAUAUUUCAGAAACCCAUUUUCUUUAACAAUCCACUACCAAGGGCUGAGUAAACCAGAUACUUCAUUAUUUGUAUGGAAUGUAAACACGAAAGAAAGAUCUUCAAUGCAAAGUAAAUGAUAGGUGGGAGAGAGGGUUAUAUAUUACCCAGAGAAAUUAUGCACUGCCCAACUUAUUGCAAUGUUCUUUCUACUGUCUGGCUAGCUCGCAUUCACCACUUUAGUCUUUUUUUUUUCCCUCCAAGGAAUGCCUUUAUUAUUAUUUCAUAGCAAUCAAAAUAAUCUCACAUAAGGACUAUAAAACUUGGCCGUGUAACAGUAUAAACAUCAAAUAAAAUCUGUUAUGAUUCAAAAGUGAAAAAAUAAGACAUUUUGAACUACAAGUGGCAAGAUCAGAGUGGAAUCUGGAUUACCUAUUUGCAUCCUUUAUUUUCACUAUAACAAAACACAUUCUUCAGAGUCAAAAUAAGUAUUUCACCAUAUCCAGUGUCACCGCACUCCAAACCAAAAUGGAAGAAAACUUUGUGUCAGAAUUUCAGUUAUUUGAUAUAUAUAUAUCAUAAUUAUGUGUUAAUUUAUGAACUUAAAUGCAGUUCUUUCAUAAUAUUUUGUGUUACAUGGUAAUGCUUAAAUCUUUUAAAAUCUGGUUUACAUUUUCAUGACCAAGAAAUCAUAGCCUCACCUAAAUUUACUAGGGCUAUUGCUGGUCCACAUUCUGGAAAUUCUCUUAAACUUUGGAAAAAGUGCAAGAGGGGAAGUAUAUAAUCUGCUUGAUCUAUCCUAAAUUGACCACAGUAGAUGGUGCAGCAGUCUGAAUAGGCUUUUGGUUUGACUCAUUACACAUGCUCUUAUGUUCUAAGCUUGAAGAUAAUUGUUUUAGGGAAGCAAGUGUAUGGCUUAACUAAUAAGUUUUGUAUUUUGCUUUGCUUCAAAAAGCAAUAAAAAUGUCAUUCUCUUUUUUAAUCUGUUUUGUAUUGCUUAGUUCUGAUGUUCUGCACUCCCAAUGUAAACAGAUUGCCCGUUGAUGUCAGGAAUAACUCCUUGCAUGUUGAUGGAGCAGAAUAUCAGAGAUGAAAUCAAUCACAUGGCUCUGAGACAAGAAUCCAUCUGUAUCACCAUGCUAAUUUGAGAACAGAUUUGAAGCCAAGAUAAAAUAUAAUCCUUUGUGGAGGUGAAGACUGUACU